GAUGAACGCUAGCUACAGGCUUAACACAUGCAAGUCGAGGGGAAACGGCAUUAAGUGCUGCACUUUUUGGACGUCGACCGGCGCACGGGUGAGUAACGCGUAUCCAACCUUCCCAUGACUAAGGGAUAACCUGCCGAAAGGCAGACUAAUACCUUAUGGUCUUCACUGACGGCAUCAGAUGUGAAGUAAAGAUUUAUCGGUUAUGGAUGGGGAUGCGUCUGAUUAGCUUGUUGGCGGGGUAACGGCCCACCAAGGCAACGAUCAGUAGGGGUUCUGAGAGGAAGGUCCCCCACAUUGGAACUGAGACACGGUCCAGACUCCUACGGGAGGCAGCAGUGAGGAAUAUUGGUCAAUGGUCGGAAGACUGAACCAGCCAUGCCGCGUGCAGGAAGAAUGCCUUAUGGGUUGUAAACUGCUUUUAUAUGGGAAGAAUAAGGCGUACGUGUACGUUGAUGACGGUACCAUAUGAAUAAGCAUCGGCUAAUUCCGUGCCAGCAGCCGCGGUAAUACGGAGGAUGCGAGCGUUAUUCGGAAUCAUUGGGUUUAAAGGGUCUGUAGGCGGGCUAUUAAGUCAGGGGUGAAAGGUUUCAGCUUAACUGAGAAAUUGCCUUUGAUACUGGUAGUCUUGAAUAUCUGUGAAGUUCUUGGAAUGUGUAGUGUAGCGGUGAAAUGCUUAGAUAUUACACAGAACACCGAUUGCGAAGGCAGGGGACUAACAGACAAUUGACGCUGAGAGACGAAAGCGUGGGGAGCGAACAGG
rnacentral:rRNA from 1 species